ACGGGGGUGGCAAGCGUUGUCCGGAAUUACUAGGCGUAAAGGGCAGGUAGGCGGAUUGGUAAGUUAAUUGUUAAAGGCCCAUGCUCACCAUGGGUAAGGCAGUUGAUACUGUCAGUCUGGAAGCGAGUGGGGGAAGACGGAAUUCCUGGUGUAUCGGUGGAAUGCGGAGAUAUCAGGAGGAUCACCGAAGGCGUAGGUAUUCUUCUACUCUUGGCUUUAAUCUAAACUGUUUAGGUGAGGGUAUCAAACAG
rnacentral:rRNA from 1 species